rnacentral:rRNA from 1 species
UAAUACGGAGGGUGCGAGCGUUAUCCGGAAUUAUUGGGUUUAAAGGGUGCGUAGGCGGAAAUUUAAGUCAGUGGUGAAAUCCUACAGCUCAACUGUGGAAUUGCCAUUGAUACUGAAUUUCUUGAAUCUGAUUGAAGUAGGCGGAAUAUGACAUGUAGCGGUGAAAUGCAUAGAGAUGUCAUAGAACACCGAUAGCGAAGGCAGCUUACUAAGUCAGUAUUGACGCUAAUGCACGAAAGCGUGGGGAGCGAACAGGAUUAGAUACCCUGGUAGUCCACGCUGUAAACGAUGAUUACUCGCUAUUGGCGAUACACUGUCAGUGGUUAAGCGAAAGUGAUAAGUAAUCCACCUGGGGAGUACGAUCGCAAGGUUG